rnacentral:rRNA from 1 species
GACAUAGGUGGCGAACGUUAUCCGGAUUUAUUGGGCGUAAAGGAUGCGUAGGUGGCGGAAUAAGUUAUUAGUUGAAGUCAGGCUCAACUUGACGGAAGCUGGUAAAAACUGUUCUGCUAGAGGACAAAAAGAAGUUGGCGGAACUCACAUGAGGAAGGGUGAAAAUCUAUUGAUCCAUGGAGGACCACCAAAAAAAAGGCGAAGGCAGCUAACUAUUUUUACUCCUGACACUGAGGCAUGAAAAGCGUGGGUAGCAAACAGG